rnacentral:rRNA from 1 species
UACGUAGGGUGCGAGCGUUGUCCGGAAUUACUGGGCGUAAAGAGCUCGUAGGUGGUUUGUCGGCGUUGUUCGUGAAAACUCACAACUCAAUUGUGGGCGUGCGGACGAUACGGGCAGACUGGAGUACUGCAGGGGGAGACUGGAAUUCCUGGUGUAGCGGUGGAAUGCGCAGAUAGUCAGGAGGAACACCGGUGGCGAAGGCGGGUCUCUGGGCCGAAAUUGACGCUGAGGAGCGAAAGCGUGGGGAGCAAACAGG